CAGAGGAGGAACAAAACGAGCAAGAGGAGGAUGAAGAGGUAGACAUGGAUAACAAAUCACGAGAGCGAGGGCGCUGCUGUCUUCGGCUCUUGUACGUAAGAAGAACUGAGCCUCUGAGUGAUUUACAGAUGAAAGCUGUCAGCGCCACCCUCUCCAUUCAGGGAGCCUGGAGAAUAAUAUUGCAUCAGAGCCUUCUGUGACAGAAGAACAAUGGUUUCUGAGUCUGAACAGACUUUAGAUGAGGUGACAACUGGAAACAAGGAACGGAGGAGGACUGAGUCAUCUAUUGAACGAGAGCCACUGCCGCCAUGUUGGCCCUCUCCCCAAGGACACCCCAUUGCUCUUUUUAGAAGUGUGUGUGCUCUCCCAAAUCUUCCCUAUCUGUGUGCACACUUUUCGUGUGAGUGCGGUUUGUGGGUGGCGGUGUGAUUCAUUAUUUACCAACUCCCUCUCAUCUGCACGCUAGAUUAAUUUGUUAAAGCUCCGUGCCCAUUUGUUAUUUGGAGAGAGAGAGAGAGAGAGAGAGAGAGAGAGAGAGCGCAGCACAAAGAAACACAACUUUUUCCAUGGCGUGAAUUGAUGAAGGGCCCUAUGAAGUGUUUAUUAACACAGUCGGGGUUGGUAAGGUUGG